CCUAAACCCUAAACCCUAAACCCUAAACCCUAAACCCUAAACCCUAAACCCUAAACCCUAAACCCUAAACCCUAAACCCUAAACCCUAAACCCUAAACCCUAAACCCUAAACCCUAAAGCCCACCCUACACGAUCUACCACUCCUACGAACUACCUAGCAGCGCCGCGACCGCCCGCGCGCGCGCCCUAAACCCUAAACCCUACACGAUCUACCACUCCUACGAACUACCUAGCAGCGCCGCGACCGCCCGCGCACGCGACUCCGACAAUCUACGCCCCCGACCGCCGAACAAGAGGCAGGCAGGCGCUACGCCCCUCCGCCGCCGACGCCGCCGCGCUUCGCCAGCGCCUCUUCCAACGCGUCCUUCAACUUCACCAGCCGCGUCGGCAGGUCGGCGGCUAUCGCGGCGGCGUCAUCGACCCCCCCCACUACCUCCUCCUCCUCCUCCUCCGCCCGACGCUGACGCUCGUGACGCCGCUGCGCCUGGAUGCGCGCGAUCGCGUCGAGCGUCUUCAUCACCUCGUGCGUCCUCUUCUUAAUCUUCNNNN
rnacentral:lncRNA from 1 species